AGCUAAUAGAUACCCUGGUAGUCCACGCCGUAAACGAUGGGCACUAGGUCCUUGGGGGAGCGACCCCGUGAGGGCCGGCGCUAAACGCAUGAAGUGCCCCGCCUGGGGAGUACGGCCGCAAGGCUGAAACUCAAAGGAAUUGACGGGGGCCCGCACAAGCGGUGGAGCAUGUGGUUUAAAUUCGACGCAACGCGAAGAACCUUACCUGGGCUUGACAUGCAGGGGACCGCUGGGGGAAACCCCGGCUUCUCUUCGGAGCUCCUGCACAGGUGCUGCAUGGCUGUCGUCAGCUCGUGUCGUGAGAUGUUGGGUUAAGUCCCGCAACGAGCGCAACCCUUGUCCCUAGUUACCAGCGGGUAAAGCCGGGAACUCUAGGGAGACUGCCGGUGCCAAACCGGAGGAAGGUGAGGAUGACGUCAAGUCAUCAUGGUCCUUACGUCCAGGGCUACACACGUGCUACAAUGGGCGGGACAGCGGGUCGCAAGUCCGCAAGGAGGAGCCAAUCCUUCAAACCCGCCCUCAGUUCGGAUUGUCGUCUGCAACUCGACGGC
rnacentral:rRNA from 1 species